rnacentral:rRNA from 1 species
UACGAGGGGGGCGAGCGUUGUUCGGAAUUAUUGGGCGUAAAGGGUGCGUAGGCGGUUCCGCAAGUCCUGUGUGAAAUCUUCGGGCUCAACUCGAAGUCUGCACGGGAAACUGCGGGGCUUGAGUGUGGGAGAGGUGAGUGGAAUUCCCGGUGUAGCGGUGAAAUGCGUAGAUAUUCGGAAGAACACCAGUGGCGAAGGCGACUUACUGGACACAUAUUGACGCUGAGGUGCGAAAGCGUGGGGAGCAAACAGG